GACGAACGCUGGCGGCGUGCUUAACACAUGCAAGUCGAACGGAAAGGCCCUGCUUUUGUGGGGUGCUCGAGUGGCGAACGGGUGAGUAACACGCGAGUAACCUGCCCUUGACUUUGGGGAUAACUUCAGGAAAACUGGGGCUAAUACCGGAUAGGAGCUCCUGCUGCAUGGUGGGGGUUGGAAAGUUUCGGCGGUUGGGGAUGGACUCGCGGCUUAUCAGCUUGUUGGUGGGGUAGUGGCUUACCAAGGCUUUGACGGGUAGCCGGCCUGAGAGGGUGACCGGCCACAUUGGGACUGAGAUACGGCCCAGACUCCUACGGGAGGCAGCAGUGGGGAAUAUUGCACAAUGGGCGGAAGCCUGAUGCAGCAACGCCGCGUGCGGGAUGACGGCCUUCGGGUUGUAAACCGCUUUCGCCUGUGACGAAGCGUGAGUGACGGUAAUGGGUAAAGAAGCACCGGCUAACUACGUG
rnacentral:rRNA from 1 species